rnacentral:rRNA from 1 species
AUUGAACGCUGGCGGCAGGCUUAACACAUGCAAGUCGAGCGGGGAAGGUUGCUUCGGUAACUAACCUAGCGGCGGACGGGUGAGUAAUGCUUAGGAAUCUGCCUAUUAGUGGGGGACAACAUUCCGAAAGGAAUGCUAAUACCGCAUACGCCCUACGGGGGAAAGCAGGGGAUCUUCGGACCUUGCGCUAAUAGAUGAGCCUAAGUCGGAUUAGCUAGUUGGUGGGGUAAAGGCCUACCAAGGCGACGAUCUGUAGCGGGUCUGAGAGGAUGAUCCGCCACACUGGGACUGGGACACGGCCCAGACUCCUACGGGAGGCAGCAGUGGGGAAUAUUGGACAAUGGGCGGAAGCCUGAUCCAGCCAUGCCGCGUGUGUGAAGAAGGCCUUUUGGUUGUAAAGCACUUUAAGCGAGGAGGAGGCUCCUUUAGUUAAUACCUAAAGUGAGUGGACGUUACUCGCAGAAUAAGCACCGGCUAACUCUGUGCCAGCCGCCGCGGUAAGAC